GACGAACGCUGGCGGCGUGCUUAACACAUGCAAGUCGAGCGGUAAGGCCCUUUCGGGGUACGACGAGCGGCGAACGGGUGAGUAACACGUGGGUGACCUGCCCUCAGCUCUGGGAGUAAGCCUGGGAAACGUGGGUCGUAAUACCGGAUAUGACUCCAUGACGCAUGUUGUGGGGUGGAAAGCCUUGUGCGGCUGAGGAUGGGCCCGCGGCCUAUCAGCUUGUUGGUGGGGUGAGGCCUACCAAGGCGACGACGGGUAGCCGGCCUGAGAGGGCGACCGGCCACACUGGGACUGAGACACGGCCCAGACUCCUACGGGAGGCAGCAGUGGGGAAUCUUGCGCAAUGGGCGAAAGCCUGACGCAGCGACGCCGCGUGAGGGAUGACGGCCU
rnacentral:rRNA from 1 species